GGAGGCGUGCCCGAGCGGCCUAAGGGAUCGGUCUUGAAAACCGUCGUGGCAGCGAUGUCACCGUGGGUUCAAAUCCCACCGCCUCCG
rnacentral:tRNA from 1 species